GGGGCUGUAGCUCAGCGGCAGAGCAUCUGCUUGGUAGGCAGAAGGUCCCCGGUUCAAUCCCGGGCAGCCUCU